AUCAUUCUUCUACCCGUAAGCAUUUGGAUGUACAGAACGUGUUAUUGGGCCAUGAGGUAAAUGCUCAGUUCUCUGCAGUAAUCUCAGUUGGUUGCCAGCUUGCUUUUUUGAUUUCGUGGAGUAUUUUUGUUUUUUUGGGGCUGCGCUGUAACCCACAGGUCUGUUCAUUGCUGUGCGGUAGAAGUGUCUCAGGUUCAUGCACUCUGCUCUUGGUCUUGCAGGUAUGCGACUGUAUACACCAUGUUCCCCGUGUUCUCCUUAGUGCUGGACCAGGACGUGAAGCCGGAGAUGGCAAUGCUCUACCCGGAGCUGUACAAGGACCUCACCAAGGUACGGGCCUCAGCAGGCGUCUGCCUCACCACGGGCACCCACGCCUGUACAGGGACCUCACCAAAUGAUGGGCCUUAGUGGGCAUCUGCCUUACCAUGGCACGCACGCCUGUACAAGGACUUCAGCAAGGUAUGGGCCUCAGCAGGCGUCUGCCUCAACAUGGGCACCCAGGCCUGGCAUUUUACAUGAGUGCGUAAUAGGCCAGUCAGAGGCAUUUCCAAGCAUUUUGUGAAAAACAAUUCUCUGUCCUUCGAGAUGUUUUUUAUGUCUCCUGAUUUUUUUUGGCAUUUUCCCUUUGAGUUAAAUUUCAAAAGGGGAAAAACAUAUCUGAAAAAAAUUUUCUGAAAUGUUUGCAGUAAAGCUCUGAUUUACACGAAAUUAGAAUUGUAAAGGAUGCUCUAAUCAUUGGUGGAACUUCUGUGAAGUGAGCUCACCAAAUGUCAGAGAAGAGGUCACUUGGUAAUCUCUGUCGAAAGGCUCCCCGGGCAGCCUUGCAGCACCUGCGUGGAAGUAGCGUUCUGAAGCCGGGGGUCCUGGGCUGCAUGCUUCCCGUGUAUUUCCAAAUCUGUCAGUAGUUGUGGACUUCAGAAUUACAUCUGAAAAGCGAUUGACAAUACGCUUGUCCCUGAGAUCCGUAGGCUAUUUUUUCAGUGAUGCCACAAGAAAAAAAUCCAACCCAGAAAACGUCAGUCACCUGAAACUCUGUGAAAGAUGCAUUUAUUUGGCUUAAAACUGUGCUGUGUUAGGAUUAAAAUAUUCUUAAAGGAGGCUUUGAAUU